rnacentral:lncRNA from 1 species
GUCCGCCCCCACGCGGCCGCCUGCACAGGGGGUUCCAGCCACCCGCGCUCUCCCAGGUUUGCCGACCUUACGGGCCCUUCUCCGCCAGCCCUGGCUGGGUCACCCCCACGACCCGGGACUCCCCCGCCGUUCCCUCCCGGGCUGCCUGCAGUGAGGUCCGCUCCUGAGGCCUCAGCCUCGCCGGGGGUAGGGCCCUCUCCCGCCGUCGCCGCAGCUCCUUUCCGUCCCGGGGCCUGGGGGGCACCGUCCCACGGGUGAGGGCCGCCUCCAGCGCCUGGCCCAGCCAUGCGAACGCCUGGAGCCCGCGAGCUGCAGCUGCGGCCCUGAAGGUGCCGCAUAUCCUGCCGAGUGGGUGAAGCGUGGCACUUUGGAAAACAAAUCGGGUGAUCCGCCCACCUCGGCCUCCCAAAGUGCUGGAAUUACAGGCAUGAACCACGGUGCCCGGCUGACACAAGGAACUUUCUAUGAGGUCCUAGGAAUGAAGGAAAACAGGCAAUAAGGCAAGAAUCGCUGUCGAAGGAGUCUGCGCCACCUGCUCGCACAGCUCACUUGUGCCUUCUGAGCCUGCUGGAGCCCAGUGUACAUAUGCCGUCUCCGCGUGAUUAGAGAUUGCUGCUGCACGUGCCCAAUCCCGUGGCGGGGCUGGAA